CACUGGGGGGGGGGGAGAGAGAGAGAGAGAGAGAGAGAGAGAGAGAACAGGAGUAUCUUUUUCCCUCUCUCCCUCUCUCUCCCCCUCUCUCGCCCCCCACCAUGCC
rnacentral:miRNA from 1 species